rnacentral:rRNA from 1 species
GACGAAGGGUGCAAGCGUUGUCCGGAAUUAUUGGGCGUAAAGAGCUCGUAGGCGGUUGGUCACGUCGGGAGUGAAAACUCAGGGCUCAACCCUGAGCGUGCUUCCGAUACGGGCCGACUAGAGGUAUGCAGGGGGAGAACGGAAUUCCUGGUGUAGCGGUGGAAUGCGCAGAUAUCAGGAGGAACACCGGUGGCGAAGGCGGUUCUCUGGGCAUUACCUGACGCUGAGGAGCGAAAGCAUGGGGAGCGAACAGG